ensembl:lncRNA
GUUGAUGUAAUGUGUGAAUGAAGAUCAUUCUGGUGUGAGUUUUUCUCCAUUGAGCCUCAUUAAUGAUCUCAUCUCUGUUUUUGGUUUCUUUAGGUGUAGGGGCUGUUGUAGUGGCUGGUAAGUACCAGAGAGGAGUUGGUGUGUUUGGGUUUCAUUAGGAGUAAGGGGGUCAUCAUGGUCAUCAGGCCUUUACACACACACACACACACACACACACACACACACACACACACACACACACACACACACACACACUCACACUCACACACACACAGAGACACACACAGAGACACACACGCACAUAGACAGUUAAAGGGUGAUAACCAAUGUUAUAUGUGUUGAUGUAAUGUGUGAUUGAAGAUGAUUCCAGUGUGAGUUUGUCUCCAUUGAGCCUCAUUAAUGAUCUCAUCUCUGUUUCUGGUUUCUUUAGUUCAUGCUGGUAAGUACCAGAGAGGAGUUGGUGUGUUUGGGUUUCAUUAGGAGGAAGAGGGUCAUCAUGGUCAUCAGGCCUUAGUGGACAUGUGAAAACACACAUACACACACACACACACACACACCAACAUAUACAGACACACACACACACACACACGCACACACACACACACACACACGCACACACACACACACAUGCAGACAGAUGCUUGCACAGAUCAUUGAGGAACUGACUUUAAAAGCAGUUUUUCCUAACACACACAGUGUCACUUUUACAAACCUACACAGACACCCAGAUUUCAGUCUCUGUUCUGUGCGUUUGUUACUGUGAAUAGAUAUGUAUGUAGUAUGUAUGUGUGUCAGUGUGUGUGUGUGGUGGGUAAUGUUGAUAACUUUGUGUGUGUUCCAGAUGUGUGUAUGUGUGUGUGUGUGUGUGUGUGUGUGUGUGUGUGUGUGUGUGUGUACUCCAUGUGUGUUCAUGUGUAUUAGCCUCCUGCGUCAAAGAGCUCCUCUCUCUACUCUGGUAUUACAGUGAGGAGGAUGAUGAACAUUAGGAGGAUAACUGCUGAAGAGAGGAAGAGGAUGGAGGAAUCUGUCCAUUUUCUGGAUCCUCCUCACGUCAGGAGAAGACACAGUAUGGAGAGAUAUGAACAAAACAUGGGAGGAGAGACUCCUGUAGAUGUGGGAGGAGAGAGUCCUGGUGGUUCCAGUGUAGCCGUCUGAAGGAGAGAAGAGGAGGAGGCUGGUGUGGUGGAAAAUAUGUGAACAGAAAAACUCAUAAACCAAUGUAUAAUAACCAGGGCUGGGCACGUUAACACGUUAUUAUUGCGUUAAAGUAACACUAUGCAACAAUUUGACACUUUAUGAGGUAUGCCUUUAUAGGCAACUAGUUUUGGUACCAUCCUCAAAUUCAUUUUGAUAGCAUAUGGUCAUGUGAAGGACAGAUAAACACCCGUGUCUUCCCCACUAGCCAUCCAGGAUAUGCCACCCUGCAAAAAUGGAAGAAAAGCUUUCACACGAAUGACAUUGCCAGCUAAACUGCCAAAAGACACCAGUUAAAGGCCCUUAGUGUGUUGGCAAGCUUCUAUCAGUGUCAGCUGGGCUGUUUGCAAGGUUUUUGCAUGCCUUUUAGGUAGUUAGCUUACUAGUUUGGGAACAGAACUCCGUAUUGCUGCUUUAACGCAUCAAUUAAUUAACGCC